UGGGGAAUUUUGGACAAUGGGCGAAAGCCUGAUCCAGCAAUGCCGCGUGUGUGAAGAAGGCCUCCGGGUUGUAAAGCACUUUUGUCCGGAAAGAAAUCCUUGGCUCUAAUACAGUCGGGGGAUGACGGUACCGGAAGAAUAAGCACCGGCUAACUACGUGCCAGCAGCCGCGGUAAUACGUAGGGUGCAAGCGUUAAUCGGAAUUACUGGGCGUAAAGCGUGCGCAGGCGGUUUGCUAAGACCGAUGUGAAAUCCCCGGGCUCAACCUGGGAACUGCAUUGGUGACUGGCAGGCUAGAGUAUGGCAGAGGGGGGUAGAAUUCCACGUGUAGCAGUGAAAUGCGUAGAGAUGUGGAGGAAUACCGAUGGCGAAGGCAGCCCCCUGGGCCAAUACUGACGCUCAUGCACGAAAGCGUGGGGAGCAAACAGGAUUAGAUACCCUGGUAGUCCACGCCCUAAACGAUGUCAACUAGUUGUUGGGGAUUCAUUUCCUUAGUAACGUAGCUAACGCGUGAAGUUGACCGCCUGGGGAGUACGGUCGCAAGAUUAAAACUCAAAUGAAUUGACGGGGUCAUAGCUGUUUCCU
rnacentral:rRNA from 1 species